rnacentral:rRNA from 1 species
UUGAAGAGUUUGAUCAUGGCUCAGAUUGAACGCUGGCGGCAGGCCUAACACAUGCAAGUCGAACGGUAACAGGAAACAGCUUGCUGUUUCGCUGACGAGUGGCGGACGGGUGAGUAAUGUCUGGGAAACUGCCUGAUGGAGGGGGAUAACUACUGGAAACGGUAGCUAAUACCGCAUAAUGUCGCAAGACCAAAGAGGGGGACCUUCGGGCCUCUUGCCAUCGGAUGUGCCCAGAUGGGAUUAGCUAGUAGGUGGGGUAACGGCUCACCUAGGCGACGAUCCCUAGCUGGUCUGAGAGGAUGACCAGCCACACUGGAACUGAGACACGGUCCAGACUCCUACGGGAGGCAGCAGUGGGGAAUAUUGCACAAUGGGCGCAAGCCUGAUGCAGCCAUGCCGCGUGUAUGAAGAAGGCCUUCGGGUUGUAAAGUACUUUCAGCGGGGAGGAAGGGAGUAAAGUUAAUACCUUUGCUCAUUGACGUUACCCGCAGAAGAAGCACCGGCUAACUCCGUGCCAGCAGCCGCGGUAAUACGGAGGGUGCAAGCGUUAAUCGGAAUUACUGGGCGUAAAGCGCACGCAGGCGGUUUGUUAAGUCAGAUGUGAAAUCCCCGGGCUCAACCUGGGAACUGCAUCUGAUACUGGCAAGCUUGAGUCUCGUAGAGGGGGGUAGAAUUCCAGGUGUAGCGGUGAAAUGCGUAGAGAUCUGGAGGAAUACCGGUGGCGAAGGCGGCCCCCUGGACGAAGACUGACGCUCAGGUGCGAAAGCGUGGGGAGCAAACAGGAUUAGAUACCCUGGUAGUCCACGCCGUAAACGAUGUCGACUUGGAGGUUGUGCCCUUGAGGCGUGGCUUCCGGAGCUAACGCGUUAAGUCGACCGCCUGGGGAGUACGGCCGCAAGGUUAAAACUCAAAUGAAUUGACGGGGGCCCGCACAAGCGGUGGAGCAUGUGGUUUAAUUCGAUGCAACGCGAAGAACCUUACCUGGUCUUGACAUCCACAGAACCUUGUAGAGAUACGAGGGUGCCUUCGGGAACUGUGAGACAGGUGCUGCAUGGCUGUCGUCAGCUCGUGUUGUGAAAUGUUGGGUUAAGUCCCGCAACGAGCGCAACCCUUAUCCUUUGUUGCCAGCGGUCCGGCCGGGAACUCAAAGGAGACUGCCAGUGAUAAACUGGAGGAAGGUGGGGAUGACGUCAAGUCAUCAUGGCCCUUACGACCAGGGCUACACACGUGCUACAAUGGCGCAUACAAAGAGAAGCGACCUCGCGAGAGCAAGCGGACCUCAUAAAGUGCGUCGUAGUCCGGAUUGGAGUCUGCAACUCGACUCCAUGAAGUCGGAAUCGCUAGUAAUCGUGGAUCAGAAUGCCACGGUGAAUACGUUCCCGGGCCUUGUACACACCGCCCGUCACACCAUGGGAGUGGGUUGCAAAAGAAGUAGGUAGCUUAACCUUCGGGAGGGCGCUUACCACUUUGUGAUUCAUGACUGGGGUGAAGUCGUAACAAGGUAACCGUAGGGGAACCUGCGGUUGGAUCACCUCCUU